GUCACUUUAGCUUAUAUAAAGUGUGGUAUUGAAGCUACUAAGAUUUUGUGGCAGUGUUA
rnacentral:tRNA from 1 species